GAGGCGCUGAUCACGCAUACAUUAAACUCUACUUGUUGUCUUCCCGUAUCUCCGCCUCCAAAGGGAGAUCUGGUUUCACGGACGCCUUCGACGAGCGACAGAACGAAGCGCAGCUGCUCUGUGAUAAGGUCAUGUCGUCGCUGACGACGUCAUCUGGUCUCCUUCCCUCGCGGGCGGAGUACCCGAUUAUCGGCUGCGUGGAAUUAGGCCAAAGAACAGUUUCCUCUGGAGAUGGACGAUUUUUUCCUCAAAAAUUCUCAAGCUGCAGCGUCUCAGGAAGACAAGGGUCGGGAGGGUCAUGAAAACACAUGAAAUAUAAAUCAGGGAAUGGCGAAGAAGAGAGCAGGUUGUCUUAACAACGCAGAUGCUAGCAGAACACCAACAAAUGAGAGAUGAAGAGGAGAUUUAAUGUAAACUAAUAAGAUACACGAUGAGCAGAUGAGAAGCCGUAAGAUGGCCCCUCUUUGCCUCAACUGUUGAUAAUGUUUUUAUUAUUAUGAAAUCUAUCUUUAAAUGACUUCCUGUACUUUUGGCUGUGACGACAGAAUUUUUCGUAUGUGAUAAAUAAAGUACCAAAUUAUCGUGUAUAAACGACCCCCAACGGGAAAUUCAAAUGAAGGAGAAAGUGUUGUCACAUUGACAAUUAUUCUGUUGGCGUCAUACAGUUGCCAUGGAGAGGUCAGAGUUCAACGAGGGCAUCUGACCUAGCCACAACCAAUGAGGUGCACCGAUGCAAGCGGUUGAAAAACUCUGUCUCACUCUGCGUCUCCCGUGAUUGGCCACGCCCCCUCUCCCUUAAACCCUCUCUGUCAUGGCCGCCGUGCUCCUGGGAGUGGAGGCCUAGGUAAUUUUGGUCCCCCAGAACAGAAGAGAGACUGGCAGCAUUUAAGGAGUCCAGAGGAGGUGUGUUUAUUCCCCUGAAACCGCCACCGGGCCAGUCGGGUUGCCAGAUUUCACCACUCAGUAGUGAGGUGUCUUUGGUUUAGUAGUGAGGUGUCUUUGGUUUAGUAGUGAGGUGUCUUUGGUUUAGUAGUGAGGUGUCUUUGGUUUAGUAGUGAGGUGUCUUUGGUUUAGUUGUGAGGUGUCUGUUGUGCAGUAUUGAGACGUCUGUUUUGGAGUAGUGAGGUGUCUGUAUUGAUGUUGUGAGGUGUCUGUACUGCAGUAGUGAGGUGUCUGUACUGCAGUAGUGAGGUGUCAGUACUGCAGUAGUGAGGUGUCGGUACUGCAGUAGUGAGGUGUCAGUACUGCAGUAGUGAGGUGUCAGUACUGCAGUAGUGAGGUGUCUGUACUGCAGUAGUGAGCUGUCUGUACUGCAGUAGUGAGGUGUCUGUACUGCAGUAGUGAGGUUGCCUGAUGGACAUGAUGGUGAUGAUUGAUAUAAACACCAAAAGCUUCCCUGUAGUCUAUGAGGCAGGAUCAUUGAGGAAGUCUACACGCAACAUAAAGGAGGGACUGGUCUGUGAUCUGAAGUUCCAAAAGCACAUUCCAAGCCGCCAUCUUGGAACUUCUUGACCAAACAUUCUAGAAUCAUCAAGCGGAUGUGUUAUUAUUCUUAUUAUGAUGAUGUUGAAACACCAAGAUGGCGGCCGGACAUCAUGUUAAACCCUCUUCUAUGUAUGUGUGUGUAGAUAUUAAUGUACGUAUAUUAUUACUCAUACCUGUGGGGGAUUGCUGGGGUGUUGACUGUGUACGGAGGAGGAGUUAGUACUUCUGGCCUGAAGGUUGGAGCGCAGCUCAGAGGAGGAGGUGGAGGAGGAGGACGAGGACGAGGAGGAGGAG
ensembl:lncRNA